rnacentral:rRNA from 7 species
CAUGGUCCGGUGAAGUGUUCGGAUCGCGGCGAUGCUGGUGGUUCGCCGCUCGUGACGUCGCGAGAAGUCCACUGAACCUUAUCAUUUAGAGGAAGGAGAAGUCGUAACAAGGUUUCCGUAGGUGAACCUGCGGAAGGAUCAUUGU